GAAUGUGAGGGCGAUCUGGCUGUGACAUCUGUCACUCCAUUGAUCACCAGGGUUGAUUCAGCUGAUCUGGAUGGCUAGGCAGGUGCCCCCUUCCUCCCUCCUCACUGCAUAUGCAUCCCUCCCAAAGCUGCAUGCUGGGUCAAAGAGGACAACCUUCCCUGAUAGAGAAGGACUGUUCUUCGGUCAAGGAUAUACAAGUAGCUACACUCCUCUGCUAGAACUUCCAAAACAAGCUCUCAAAAAUAUCUGGGGGGAAAAAACAAUAAAAAAUAACAAUACAACAAUAAAAAAUAAUACAAAUAAAAACAAUAGGGUAUAACUACUAUUU
rnacentral:snRNA from 1 species